ACACAUCUUAUCACUCAUUGUCACUUCUUGGUGACAGCUGCUUGACGAAAGGUUGACAGUUUAAAGGUCACGAUGCAACUGAAGACUGUUCUUGCCCUGCUGUUGGUCUUCACGCUGGCCACCCGCCAGGACACCCGAGCGAUGACGGUUGGGAGGAGACAACUUUAUGGCCCUCGUGACUAUGAACUCUACCAAAUCAUGGAUGCGCACAAGAAGAUGAUGCCCGACGAAAUAGCAAAAAUCAAAUGUGUGAUCGCGCACCAAUGUUGCCCUGAAUAUUGGGAGAAAUCUUGCCAGUCUAUAAACGUGAGCUAUAUAGAUAUAUAUAUAGACUGCUUGGGCGGCUGGAUGUGUGCCAUUCUCUCGCACGGAUGACUGGUGUUGUCAUCACACGACAUCUCAUCUUGCUUUGACCUUUAAAUGUUGCUGCUUGAUGGACUCCACAACUUGUAGUAACGGAUAUUCACUGUUUAGAGUGACGAAUAUUUUUGGGUCAUAAAUAAAGACUUAUAAAAACGAUAUUAAAGAUA